GGAGUUAGCCGGUGCUUCUUCUGUGAGUGAUGUCCUUCCUGCCGGUUAUUGACCCGCAGGCCUUCUUCCUCACUGAAAGUGCUUUACAACCCGAAGGCCUUCUUCACACACGCGGCAUGGCUGGAUCAGGGUUGCCCCCAUUGUCCAAUAUUCCCCACUGCUGCCUCCCGUAGGAGUCUGGCCCGUGUCUCAGUCCCAGUGUGGCUGAUCAUCCUCUCAGACCAGCUACGGAUCGUCGCCUUGGUGAGCCGUUACCUCACCAACCAGCUAAUCCGACAUAGGCUCAUCCGAUAGCGCGAGGCCCGAAGGUCCCCCGCUUUCCCCCGUAGGGCGUAUGCGGUAUUAGCCUGGGUUUCCCCAGGUUAUCCCCCGACUACCGGGCAGAUUCCUAUGCAUUACUCACCCGUCCGCCGCUCGCCACCAGGGAGCAAGCUCCCCGUGCUGCCGCUCGACUUGCAUGUGUUAGGCCUGCCGCCAGCGUUCAAUCUGAACCCAAGAUCAAAUUCUGA
rnacentral:rRNA from 1 species